CGCAGAUCGAGGCAAUCCAAAUCAUCAUCAUACAAUGAGAAACCGGUUCUUGGCAUUUGGACAACCCACAUCCUCAGACUCCAAUGGACCAUGGAAAGGAGCGUCGAAUUAGGGGGGAGUCAUCAUCCAAAUGAAGAAACAUCAGUCAAACAAUAAACUGGAACCAACGAGUGCAGCAGCUGACUUGCAGAUCUCAAAUAUCACAAGAUUUCUAAAAUCAAAACGAAAUAGAAAACCUCAAGGAAGGCGUCUUCUCUUCUGGCAGUACGAAACAAUUGAAGAUUUUUCUCAACCAGAACAUUUCAACUCACGAAGAAGAAAGCAUCCCCAUACAGAUAUAUAUUAAUGACACAAGGAGGCAGACCAUAAAUCCAGUACCCAUUCAAAAAGAAAAAAUCAUCGUCAACGACAAAAGAAGACAAUGCCAAAUCAACGGAGGAAGAAAAAUCUUUGCCAAUUUCAAGAAUACUCUCUUCAUGGACACAAAAAGAAAAUGUUUACUCAACAAUCAUUAAUCUCUGCACUCGUGACCAAACAAAAAAAAAAAAAAAUAGAAAAAUCCAUUCUGGCAGGACCAAAAAAUAAUUUUAUUAAAAAGAGGACUUUAAAUUCAAAAAACAAAAACGGCUCAGUUUCAAAAACCAAUUCUCCACCAGUUCAUCGUUCCUUGGCAAAAAUACAAAUAAUUUUAAUUACCAUCCUCGAAAGAAUCCGCAAGGAAUCAGCAAAAUCCAAAUCAAUUUUCCAAAUGGUAAAUUAUUUUUCCAAAUACAUUUUCCAAAAGCAGCUUCACAACAAAAAAAAGUAAAGGGGAUCGAUCACUUAGCCUUGCAGAAUGUCUUCGCUUUCGGAACGCCAGGUUAACGCAGAAACGAUUCGUCGUGAAAAGCGAAUCUUCGAAGCAGCACAAAGUGAAGAAAAAAAAAAAAAAAACGCAGCUUUUCUUAAUUUACAGUCGAAAGCCUCUUUUCGUUUCCUAAGCCACAUCAUCAGUACAGAAAUAUUUUUUGCUACGAGUGACAAAACUCUGUUCAAGCAAAGUUGGUCUGCCAGCCAAUCUCCUGCGAGUCAGAAACAAUUUUCUCUUGUCAUCGUUUAAAAAAGAAAAAAAGGGAAAAUCAAAAACAAAACCAAAAGUCAACGAAGAGUCCCUGGCACGUCGAAUUGUUCCCCAAAAAAUAGAAAAUAGAAUCUCAAUCAAGAAGAAUCAAAACAAAUUUCCGAGUUUCUUCAAUCAUUACCAGCUUCGUUCAAACAUUCCCAUCCGAUUUUAAAUCCAACGAUCAAAGUGAAAUAGAAGCUUUCAGAAUAAGGAAACUUUCAACUCGGAAACUCAAAAAAUCCAUUGACCCAGAAGAUUUAUUUUUUUUUGCAGCGAAUUAUCAGUCUUUUUUUUCCAAAAAAUUUGAAUCACAUCACCAGCGUCCGAAAGCGAACACGAUUCCAAAUUUCCUACACUUCGAUCCAAGUCUGACAAGCCAAUGAAGCAACGAAAACAGAAAUCAACAAAGACAUCAACUCAAUAAAUACAAUAAACCUCAAAGGAGAAUUCAUUCAGUUUUACAUUCUGGUCUCACAUCAAUAUUUUGAUUUGCAGUAUUUACUUUCGAAGAGAAUUUAUAUACAAAAUCAAAUAUACAUCACAGCCGUUGUCAUUAUUGCAAAAUCAAUUUCUCAUCGUCUAACAAAUUUUUUUUGGAAAAUGGAAACCUGAGAUUUAAUUGUCAAUACAGAUGCAGCAUCAUUCUUGAAAAUAGAAAUCAAAAUCAAAUCUUGGAAAUAUAAAGCAAACACAAUUAUGGAAAUAUAAAGCAACCUCAAAAUUGGAUGCACAAAACAAUUUUACAAAUCAGUAACAAAUCUCGUUACCACUAAUUCAUUUUAAUUUACAAAUCAAAUUUUGAUUUACAAGUAUAUUGACAUCUUCAGUUUAUAAAUUAUCAUUUUUUGAUACACAAAUACAAUUAUCGUCUUCUGUUUAUCAAUUAAUUGACCGCAUCUUCGGUUGACAUCAUCAGUUAUCAUCUUUGGUUCAUCAAAUCAGUCUUUGGUUCAACAAAUCAAGUUUUUAGUUCAGCAAACAAAAUCCGUGUUUAGUUCAUCAAUCAAAAUCAAGUCUUUGGUUCAACAAAUUAAAAUCAGUUUUUGGUUCAACAAAUCAAGUCUUUAGUUCAGCAGACAAAAUCCAUUAUCAGUUCACCCAUCAAAAUCCGUCUUUAGUUCAUCAAUCAAAAUCCGUCUUUAGUUCAUCAAUCAAAAUCCGUCUUCAGUUCACCAAAUCAAAAUCCGUCUUUAGUUCAUCAAAUCAAAAUCCGCCUUUGGUUCACCAAAUCAAAAUCCGUCUUUCGUUCACCAAUUCAAAUCCGUCUUUGGUUCAUCAAUCAAAAUCCGCUUUUGGUUCACUAAUCAAAAAUCAUCUUCAAUUCAGCAAAUUGAUCUUCGAUUAAUAUACUGUAUUCAGUAUUUCAUCAUGAAUUCAAAAGGCAAUAAAUCUGGUUCUUGUGGAAUUCAACAGAAUUAAACUAAAACUUGAAUCUUUAGAUACACUUUGAGCACAAGAAAAAAGAAAAAUCCGAGGAACGGAUUCUGGCAACAAUAAAAAAAUAUAAAAAAAACAAAAAAAAAAAUAUAUCGGCACCUGAUGUCGACCACGUGGGCAUUCUUAUGUUUAUUCAUCAAGGGACCUUUCUCUCAUCGAGGACAGCCGCCGUCGUGGGAUUACACCGUCGCCACACAUCAAAAAACAAAAAAAAGUAAUAUUUUCUGUUUCACUUAUUCAUUUAUUAUUUUUUUUUCAAUCAUUACACAGCCAAUUGAAUAUUUCAUCCAAUCAUUUCAAUUUUUAUUUGGCAUUAUUGUCAAAUUCA